CCCCUCUCAGGGUCGCAUCUGGAAAGUUUCCAGUACUCUACCAGCCUCGACUCCAGGAGAGAGAGAGUCAAGCAGAGGCAUAUCCAUUCCAUUCCUAGCUUGGCCAGUGGCUAGUGAGUGGAAGGCAAACUGCUACAAAC
rnacentral:snoRNA from 1 species